ACUUUAUGGAUAUAUUGGAGGGGAGGAAAGUUUUCAUGGUCCUCAAAAUAGAUUGCAAAAGCUUAAGAUAAACAUAGCUGGAGUUUCAUUUUUGAUAAUUUGGUUGAUGCUAACCUGCCAAGUCAUUUGAUUAAUAUGAUCAAGUCAUUUGAUUAAUAUGAUCAUGCAUUGUGUAUCUUCUGCUAGUUUUAGAGUGCUCUAGAAUGGGGAACCUUCUGAUUAUUUCUCCCUCUUAAGAAGCUUGUAGCAAGGUUGUCUCCUUUCACCCCACUUGUUUGUCCUGUGUAUUGAGCAUCUUG
rnacentral:misc_RNA from 1 species